rnacentral:rRNA from 1 species
UACGUAGGGAGCGAGCGUUGUCCGGAUUCAUUGGGCGUAAAGAGCUCGUAGGCGGCUUGGUAAGUCGGAUGUGAAACCUCCAGGCUCAACCUGGAGUCGCCAUCCGAUACUGCCAUGGCUAGAGUCCGGAAGAGGAGAGUGGAAUUCCUGGUGUAGCGGUGAAAUGCGCAGAUAUCAGGAAGAACACCCGUGGCUAAGGCGGCUCUCUAGUACGGUACUGACGCUGAGACGCGAAAGCGUGGGGAGCGAACAGG